rnacentral:lncRNA from 1 species
GAGAGAGAGAAGACAGAGUUGAACUGGAAUGCUAUUAGCAGUAAACGAGCACCGUUAUCAUCCAUUUGUUUUCUAUGAUGGAGCCUCCAAAUCGACGAUCGAUAUCAUUGAACAUGAUUUAUACUACUUGAAGUAUCUAAAAACUAAAUUUCAUUCUUUAUUGAUAUUGCUCUCCUGUCCAUCAAGUGGACACAAAAAUAAACGAUUGCAGAUGAAUAUGCUUUAAAAAGUGAUGAUAGGAGUCGUGUAAUCAAGAUCAAGAGUAUAGAUCUUGUUUUAAAUAGUUGGAAGAAUUUUCUAACCAAAAUUCAAUUGAUAUGGAUAUCUUUACGCCGUUAAAUAAAAAAAACGUUUUAUAUUGACCAUUAAAAUUAUAAAUUUUAAAAUUCUUUGAUCAUUAAGCCAAUAAUGUUGAAAAGAUUUGAAAUUUGAUUUUUAGAUAUUUUAAGUGAUAUAGAUCAUAUUCAACGAUACUGAUCAUCGAUUUGGAGAUUAUAUCAUCGAAAAUAAAUAGGUGGCAAAAGAACCGUUUGCUAUUAAUAAUAUUUCAGCUCAACUCUCUCUCCCUCUAUAUGUCAUUUUUCCAA